rnacentral:pre_miRNA from 14 species
UUUUGACUGAAAGACCCCCAGAGCAGGGAGACCCUCAUUCAAGUCUCAGGAUGACAUGACCCCCCAAGAACUCACAAGAGACC